UCCAGACUCCUACGGGAGGCAGCAGUGGGGAAUAUUGGACAAUGGGGGGAACCCUGAUCCAGCGACGCCGCGUGAGUGAAGAAGUCUUUCGGUAUGUAAAGCUCUAUCAGCAGGGAAGAAAGAAAUGACGGUACCUGACUAAGAAGCCCUGGCUAACUACGUGCCAGCAGCCGCGGUAAUACGUAGGGGGCAAGCGUUAUCCGGAUUUACUGGGUGUAAAGGGAGCGUAGACGGUUACGCAAGUCUGGAGUGAAAGGCGGGGGCCCAACCCCCGGACUGCUUUGGAAACUGUAUAACUGGAGUGCAGGAGAGGUAAGUGGAAUUCCUAGCGUAGCGGUGAAAUGCGUAGAUAUUAGGAGGAACACCAGUGGCGAAGGCGGCUUACUGGACUGUAACUGACGUUGAGGCUCGAAAGCGUGGGGAGCAAACAGGAUUAGAUACCCUCGUAUAA
rnacentral:rRNA from 1 species